rnacentral:tRNA from 2 species
GCACCCUUAGCUCAGUUGGUAGAGCAGUAGACUCUUAAUCUAUUGGUCGGGGGUUCGAGUCCCCCAGGGUGCACAA